rnacentral:rRNA from 1 species
UAGUUAGUCUAACUAAGCAAAAUGAAUUUUUAGUUUAACAUCCCGAAACUAGGUGAGCUACUUCGAAACAGCCACAAGAGCAAACCCAUCUCUGUUGCAAAAGAGUGGGAAGAUUUCUAAGUAGAGGCGACAAACCUACCGCACCAAGAGAUAGCUGGUUACUUAAGAAAAGAAUUUUAGUUCUACUUUAAGUUUAUUUUAGUCCCUUCAAACCUUAACAAAACUUAAAAGCUAUUCAAAUAAGGCACAGCUUAUUUGAAAAAGGAUACAACCUAUUAUAUUGGGUAAAAAUCUUAAGAAGAAUACCAAGUGGGCCUAAAAGCAGCCAUCUUUUAAAAAGCGUUAAAGCUUUAUAAUUAUUCUUUAAAAAUAACUCAACCACUUUUUAACCCAUUAUUAAUAUUGAGUAACUCCAUAAAUAUAUGGAUAAUCUAAUGCUAGAACUAGUAACAAGAAGUAGAACUUCUCCAAAAUGUAAACCUAGGCCACUUUAGACACCCUAUUGGCAAUUAACGUUUAUGAAACUAUUUUAUCAACAUUAUCAAGAAAACCCUAAACACUUCAACGUUAAACUUACACCAGAACAUUUCUGUGAA